rnacentral:rRNA from 1 species
UACGGAGGGGGCGAGCGUUAUUCGGAAUUAUUGGGCGUAAAGGGCUCGUAGGCGGCCAACUAAGUCGGUUGUGAAAUCCCCAGGCUUAACCUGGGAACUGCAUCCGAUACUGGAUGGCUUGAAUCCGGGAGAGGGAUGCAGAAUUCCAGGUGUAGCGGUGAAAUGCGUAGAUAUCUGGAGGAAUACCGGUGGCGAAGGCGGCAUCCUGGACCGGCAUUGACGCUGAGGAGCGAAAGCGAGGGGAGCAAACGGG